rnacentral:rRNA from 1 species
ACGAACGCUGGCGGCAUGCCUAACACAUGCAAGUCGAACGAGACCUUCGGGUCUAGUGGCGCACGGGUGCGUAACGCGUGGGAACCUGCCCUUAGGUUCGGAAUAACUCCCCGAAAGGGGUGCUAAUGCCGGAUAAUGUCUUCGGACCAAAGAUUUAUCGCCUUUGGAUGGGCCCGCGUUGGAUUAGCUAGUUGGUAGGGUAAAAGCCUACCAAGGCGACGAUCCAUAGCUGGUCUGAGAGGAUGAUCAGCCACACUGGGACUGAGACACGGCCCAGACUCCUACGGGAGGCAGCAGUGGGGAAUAUUGGACAAUGGGCGAAAGCCUGAUCCAGCAAUGCCGCGUGAGUGAUGAAGGCCUUAGGGUUGUAAAGCUCUUUUACCCGGGAUGAUAAUGACAGUACCGGGAGAAUAAGCUCCGGCUAACUCCGUG